GCUUGGUAAGCGCCGCCCCGGGAGCGCGCUAUGCUGAUUGCUGCAGAAGCAGUGCUGCAGUGUGUUGGAGCUGUGUUUGCAGUUCUGGAUGCUUGCAGCUCUACAUGUUAGUCUAACAAAGUGAUAAUUUCAUUGACUCUUUCCUGUGUGUCUUCCGGAUAAGUUUGUGGCGGCUGCAGGAAGAAACAUUUCUUUUUUUAGAAGAAUCUGCCAUAAAGUCAGAAGCUAAAGCAAUGACUGAAUUUCUUUUUUGCUUUAGCUGCUGUAUUGGUGAACAGCCACAGCCG